rnacentral:tRNA from 1 species
GUGCACGUAAUGGGGAUUCGCAGCGGUUUUGUAAACCGCAGGUUGCAGGUUCAAGUCCUGUCGGUGGCU